GCCAGAUCCCAACCCUUUAAUACCUUAUGACUGAAGCCUCUAUAUCCAAUGCGUGUUAAGCUACGCAUGGAAAGCCUUAGGAGUCUGCUGUCAGUACUGAAGGGUUUAUCUAUUUUUGCACAUUUCAGAUAUGAAAGCUCAACUGUAAAGACAAACCAUACUGGUCAUCAGAAGAUGGGAAGCCAUACUGGUGUGGAACCAGAAGAAAUGAAAACAAUGCAUCAAACUUGCCAAAACCUUGUCUUAAAUCCAGGAGUAUCUUCUCCACUCGAGCAUAUCUCAGUGGCGCGGUGGCUGACAAACCUUUUGUGGUGCACAUUUUCACCUGUACAAAUCCUGCAGUUCAAAGGGUGGAGCCAGAAGCAAGAAACAAAGCAUAACUCAAGUUACAAGAGUAGACUGCCGGAAAGAAUCCAUUCUUCUACUGGCUCUGCAGGACCGGCAGUAGAAAGCAUUAAUAAAACUGAAGUGGACAGAUAUUCUUCAUACUUGAAAUGAUCAGGAUUUAAACAGGAAAUUGCACUUUUUCCAGAAACGCUUUCAGAAAUAAAACUGCCUUCUGAUAUUCAUCCUGCUGCUAAAAAAAGUCAGAUGAAGAUAUCAAAUUGCAAGUGAAAGCAAAUAUUGCUAUUUAUUCACAGCUGUGAAAUUCCAUCUGCGUUGCCUUUGAAUACCUACAAAAGUGUUCUAAGGGACUUCAAAUGCAGUUCAAGAGUAAAAAUAAAAAAGAUCUCCAAACUCCAGCUGAAAUGUUAGAAUCUGCAGGAGGGCAUAAUUGGACAUCCAAGUGUGCAUUGCUGGUGUUGUUCUUUUUGAGAAACAAUGACUGAAUCCUUUACAUGGUCAAAAGUAACCAUGUAACACUGAUAGUAAAGGGCAUGCAUGGACAACCUGAAAAGAAAUAUCAGGCACCGCCUUUCUUUUGCAAUUGCUCCAAUUUUCGUCUUAAGAGAUUGUAGUUUUCCUUGGUCCCAGGUGCCAUAGGAUCAAGCUUCAGAGAGACUUCAUAGUGCUUCUUUGCUAAGUCAAGAUUUCCCCAGCGAUGAUAAAGCACAGCUGGAACAUCAAUAAGGAAUUUCAUUAGCAAUAUUGUUGAAUAAUGUGCAGUCUUGCCAGUGACUGGGAAAACAACAUUAAAGCCUUUGUUUCCAGUGAGGGUCUCUCACUGGCUGGUGGCGCAGUAGCUGCCUGUUCUGCUGCCAAACGCGGGAGCAAAGCCUGGGAGCAGAACUGGAAUGGGACUGAUGGAAUGAAUUGCACUGUAGCCAUAAAUGGCAGCUCUUAUCUGGUGAGCUCCAUUGUGGGUUACAAGCAUAGCAUAAAUAAACCAAUUCACA
rnacentral:lncRNA from 1 species